GGGCCAUUAGCUCAUUUGGUAGAGCGCUACAUUCACACUGUAGAGGCGACUGGUUCGAGUCCAGUAUUGUCCA
rnacentral:tRNA from 1 species